GUGGGUGAGUUUUAGCCCGUCUCAGUCGGUAUGAAUGGUGACAUAGGAUGGGAUCUGUUUGGAUAGCGGCGAGGGGUUGUUAGCGUGAGAAAUGGCGACGGCAUUGAGUGGGUAAGAAUUGUUUGUGGGUGACAAAGGAGUUUUGAGCUCCUUGAGUUAAGUCUAAGUUGGAGUGGGUUAACGUGGCCUGUGUGUGGAGCACGUCUACGGAUUUACAAUUGAGCAGCGCAGUCGGUUGGAAGCGUGCGGUUGCCGAGAGACGAGCCCCGGUCUCACCAAUCAGGCUGCUCUCCGGUUGAUUAAAGGCUGAGUGGUGUGUAUUGAGUGUCAGAUCCCGGCGGUAGCCCCGCCUUCACUCUCACUCAUCCGGAGGCAGACCUUGUCCCCAGCCCGGGACUCACCAUGCGCUGCUCGUCUCUCCCACUGCCCCUGCUUCUGCUCCUUGGUUCUACACUCCGGCCAAGCUUUGCGGAGAACGUGAAGACAGGAGACGCAACAGCAGGUGCCCUUGAGCUACAGACCAAUGAUAUUGAAGAUCUGAACCACAUUAAAACCCGUUUUUUGCUGCGAAGACCUUCAGCACCCUCUGAGGAUGACUGUUAUAUCAUUGCGGGCCACACCGACUCCCUGGCCAAUUGCAAUUUCAACGCCAGUAGCAAGACUUUCUUCAUUAUCCAUGGAUGGAGUGUGACUGGGAUGUUUGAGACCUGGAUUGAAAAGCUGGUGGCGGCUCUAUACCAAAGGGAGCCUGACUCUAAUGUCCUUGUCGUGGAUUGGCUCAAUCGUGCUCACCAGCACUAUCCAAUUGCAGCCCAGAAUACUCAACUGGUUGGACAAGACAUUGCCAAGCUCAUCAACUGGUUGGAGAAACAAGUGAGAGCUCCAACUAGCAAGAUGCACCUAGUCGGCUACAGCCUAGGUGCGCAUGUGGCGGGUUUUGCAGGGAGUCACAUAGGCCACAAAAUUGGCAGGAUUACAGGGCUGGAUCCAGCAGGGCCGGUGUUCGAGGGGGUCCACGCUGAGGAGCGGCUGUCCCCGGAUGACGCCACUUUUGUUGAUGUCCUCCACACCUUCACGAGGCAGUCUCUGGGGCUGAGUAUUGGGAUCCGACAGCCCGUGGGACACGUUGACAUCUAUCCAAAUGGAGGCCACUCUCAACCGGGCUGUGACCUACAGCGGGCCGUGAACAACAUUGCCAUGUAUGGUAUUUAUGCAUUCUCGGAAGCUGUGAAGUGUGAGCACGAGCGAUCCAUCCACCUCUUCAUUGACUCCUUGCUGCACAGUGAUCAGCCGUGCAUGGCAUUUCGCUGCAGCAACCACCACUCCUUCGAGAAAGGCAUGUGUCUGAACUGCCGCAAGAAUCGAUGCAACACGCUAGGCUAUGGCGUGACACGGAUCCGCAAUAAGAGGGCCAGCAAGAUGUACCUGAGGACCAGGGCUGAGAUGCCUUUCCGAGUUUAUCACUAUCAACUGAAGAUUCACUUCUCUAGCAGGAUUACCCACUUCGACAUCGAUCCCACACUGUCUGUAUCUCUUCAUGGGACCAAGGGCGAUACUGAGAAUCUUCACAUUGAAACAGUGGAGAGGUUUUCACCCAACAAGACCCAUUCGUUCCUGGUGAUUACCGAGGUGGACAUUGGAGACCUGCUGUUGAUAAAGUUCAGGUGGGAAUCAUCCCUAACCUGGAAUUCCCUGUGGAAAACAAUGAAGAAUUCCAUUUACUGGUACAAGCUUCCACUCUGGAGCACCUCGAUCCAUUCUGAUUCCAACUUUCAGAUCCACAGGAUCCGUGUGAAGUCUGGAGAAACACAGAAAAAGAAGGUCUACUGUUUGAAGGAUUCCUCUGCCAGGAUUGCCCCCUCUCAGGAAGUCAUUUUUGUGAGCUGUCCAGUCGUUCUGGAGUCAGUGCCACAAACAAGUGCCCAUGGUCAGAAGCACUGAGAGACGUAGCUGGGCGGAUCGACCAGACUAAACCUGCACUACUGGAAUCAGCAUCGACAAGCGGCAGCUGUUCACACAAUAAUCCACCCUUCUUGUUUACUUUUUGUGAUGGGAGAUUGAAAAUCUGGCUGAAGGGUAGCUCAACAUCAUCGGUCAACGUUAGCAAAACCAAAGAGCAGAUUGUCAACUUCAGGAAGAAGAAUACCGAAGUCCAUGAACCAGCCCUCAUCAUCAUUCCUAUAUUUUGAUAAUAAAUUUACUUUGAUCUUUUUGAACUCUUACCUUUCUCUUCUCUUCAUCAUCUCCCUUUGAUUCCCCUCCUCCAUGAAGCUUCUGAAACUCUACUCUUGCCUUGGUGAGUGCAGCUCCUGUAACUCUCCAGAAGUUCAGUACCCUGACCAUCCCUGACAAGAUAUCCUGUUUGACUGGCACCACAUUAAACAUCUUUACCAUUCCAUCACUGUCCGACAGUGACUGCUAGUGAACACCACUUAAAGAAUUAACUGGAGUUACUUACUCUGACCACUCUGUGGUAACUCCCAAGUUAGUGAUUUAUACUACAAACAAAGUCAAGGGCAACUGAAACUUGGGAACACCUUGCCUGCAGGUUCCCUCCAUACUUCAUGCUAACCAGACCUGGGCAUAAAUCACUAGUCCUCCCUCACAGUUGGUUUAACUCCCAAAGCUUUGCACCUGGCAGUGGGAACUGCUUCACCAGAAGGACAGCAGUAUUUUAAGAAUGUAACUCACCAUCAUCUUCAUGGGCAGUUGAGAUGAAUAAUAAAUACUGAACCGAAGGAGGAGAGGCACUGAAAGUGGUAAAUCCAACUCUCUCCACACUGGCAAACUCAGCCUUCUCAGUCGCCAGUUUUUCUGGGUUUAGUCUAUACAUGUGGGCAUGGACUGGUGGGCCAGUGGUAGAAAUGUGGUGCUUGAUCCCAUGUUUUGUAAUGUAGUAGAGAAUGUGGGCUUGGCGAGGUUUGGGAAUUCAUCCAGAAGUCGAGUAAACUCACAUGUAGUGGUGCAUACACUUGAGAGUUGUUGUGGGGAACUUACUGAGGGAGCAAGGUAAUGACACAAAGUCCUUGAUAUCCACAAGCCAGCAGUUCUCAAGAUCAACAAAUAGUCUUUAGGCACAGAGGAAAUCUGCAUCGAGCAGAGGUCUAGCCACUUCAGCCAGAAUGAAGUCCCAUGUGUAGCGCCACCCACUGAAGCAGAGCAUCACCCGCCUCUCAUAAGUCUGGAUCCUGCUGCUGUUGGUGGCCUCCAGGAAGGUUUCACCGUAUUUGCCUUCCUAUCAAAAGGUGAAGGGGGUAGCUAAUAGGAGAAGACAGAAGGCCAUAGAAGAAAGAAAAAGGGAGAGGAGCACUGGAGGGAGGCGAUGGGCAGGCAAGGAGAUAAGGUGAGAGAGAGAAAAGAGUAAGUGGGGGAGGGUGCAUUACUGGAAGUUUGGGAAAUCGAUGUUCAUGCCAGCAGGUUGGAAGCUACCCAGAAGGAAAAUAAGGUGUUGCUUCAAACCUAGUGUGGCCUCAUUGCAACAGGAGAGGAGGCCAUGGAUGGACAUAUGGGAAUGGGAAGUGGAAUUAAAAUGGGUGGCCACUGGGAGUUCCCGCUUUUUCUGGCAAAGCGAUCUCCCAAUCUGUAUCAAGUCUCACCGAUAUAUAAGAGGACACACCGGAAGCUCAUGA